UCACUGCUGACGAGUCCCAAAAUAGGACGAAACAGCCGUCUAGUGU
rnacentral:hammerhead_ribozyme from 1 species